rnacentral:rRNA from 1 species
UACAGAGGUCCCGAGCGUUGUUCGGAUUCAUUGGGCGUAAAGGGCGCGUAGGCGGUCUUCUAAGUUUGAUGUGAAAUCCCGGGGCUCAACCCUGGAAUUGCAUUGAAUACUGGAGGACUAGAGUACCGGAGAGGAAACUGGAAUUUACGGUGUAGCAGUGAAAUGCGUAGAGAUCGUAAGGAAGACCAGUGGCUAAGGCGAGUUUCUGGACGGUAACUGACGCUGAGGCACGAAGGCCAGGGGAGCAAACGGG